ACAGGGCAAAGAAAGUUAAGUGUGAUGAAACAAUUUUUUUUUGUGUGAAGUCCCAGGAAUAAAAAAGGAACAAAGGAGAAAAUUGCACAGUUGUACUAGUAUUUUUUAGUAAUUGGUAAAUAUAUAUUUUCUGGAGAAGU
rnacentral:ribozyme from 1 species